CAUUGAUUCUUUCUCAUUUUCAUGAGCUUAUCUAUCUUCGAUCUUUGAGGCUGCUGAUCUUUGGAAGGGGUUUUUGUGGGGCCAUUUUUGUGGAUGUUUUUGUUGUUGUUGUUUUCUGUUUGUUUGUUUUUCUUUCAACAGUCAGACCCCUCUUCCUUAGGGCUGCCGCAGUUUGCUGGGGGUCCACUCCAGACCCUAUUCACUUGGUCCCUCCCCUACCUGGAGGUGUCACCAGUGGAAGCUGCAGAACAGCAAGGAUGGCUGCCAGCUCCUUCUUCUUUGAGCUCCAUCCCAGAGGGGCACUGAUGUGAUGCCAGCAGGAACACUCCUGUAUAAGUUGAUCUGAAGGUCCCAGCAAGGAGCCGACUCACAGAAGAAUGCAGUUUUCACAUCGUGAUGAUUUAAUCUUCCUUGACCUGACCAAUUGACAACCCCAAUUCUCCAGAACCUCACCCGCCACAAUCCCCUUAAAAACCCUGGCCCAGAACCCCUCAAGCAGACAGAUUUGAAGCUUGAGGAUUCCUUCAUCUCUUUGCCCAAUGGCAUUGUGAUUAUUAAACUCUUUUUCUGCUGCAAAUUA